UACGUAGGGUGCAAGCGUUAAUCGGAAUUACUGGGCGUAAAGCGUGCGCAGGCGGCUCCUUAAGUCAGAUGUGAAAGCCCCGGGCUUAACCUGGGAACUGCGUUUGAAACUGGGGGGCUAGAGUGUGGAAGAGGGGGGUGGAAUUCCAGGUGUAGCAGUGAAAUGCGUAGAGAUCUGGAGGAACACCGAUGGCGAAGGCAGCCCCCUGGGCUAACACUGACGCUCAUGCACGAAAGCGUGGGGAGCAAACAGG
rnacentral:rRNA from 1 species